UGGUUGAUCUUGCCAGUAGCAUAUGCUUGUCUCAAAGAUUAAGCCAUGCAAGUUUAAGUACACAAAAAACCAGUAAAGUGAAACUGC